CUUGAGCUCUACCUUCCCAAGUUCUCCAUUGAGGGCUCCUACCAGCUGGAGAAAGUCCUCCCCGCGCUGGGCGUCAGUGACGUCUUCACCUCCCACGCCGACCUGACUGGCGUCACCAGCCACGCCAGCAUCCGGGUGACUGAGAUGGUGCACAAGGCCGUCGUGGAGGUGGACGAGUCGGGGACCAAAGCAGCUGCAGCCACAGGGACAGUGUUCAAGUUCAGGUCGGCCGCUUUUAGCUCUCAAAGGGUCAUCUUCAACAGGCCCUUCCUGAUGCUCAUUGUCGAGAACUUCACAAACAUCCUCUUUUUAGGCAAAGUGACCCAGCCCUGAGGUGGGGGUUUCCCCUGAAAGGCCGCAAGCCUCCGUAGCGGAAGUUGAAGGCUCCUUGUGGCCUCUGUCCGCUGGGAACUGAUGAUUUACACAGGUUUCAUUGUCUGAAGCUAUCACAAGUAAUAAUAAUAGCAUUGA